ACGAUCAGCUAUGAGUCAUAAGCUCAAUAGAGUAUAAUCAUCAUAACACAUUAAUAGCAUUGGUAGAAUGCCAAUAACAUUCAUGGGCUCUAGACCCAACAGAACAGAGAAAUCUCAUCAAACUGCAUACCUUCUUCCCCCACUCAUUUGCUCGGUCAAUGAGAUAAGAAUAUUCCAUAUCUUCACAACAUUUCUGUAAAGAAGAAAGAGGCUCAUUGAAGUAAACAGGAAGACAGACUUU